AAAUAGUCGAUUUUGAAAUGAUAAUUCAUAUAUUUUUAUAUAGAAAGGGCAACUUGCAAAGUCUGUAGGACCCAGGAACCCCCAGACGGCUGACACCUGAGUUCAGUUGCCAGUACGCUUAGGGCGAGUACAGAAAAACAACCGUCAGUGGUCAAAGUUCCUGAGGAAUUAGACUUUGCUCAUGUCCAGUGACGUGGACUGUUCCUGCGCUUCCCUCUGGGCUCUCCUAACCUCUGGUGGUUGGGCUGACCACAGGACCGGUUUCAGCCAAGGAAAUGUGAAGGGAGCCAGCCUGUGUCCCCUCCUUGCCAAAGCGUGUACUCGUCAGUGCCUGAAUCUCCAGGCUUCUCUUUCUCUGUUGCGGCCACAGGAAGACGGCACAGUGGGACGGAGGUGCUCUGAGGUCAAAGCAGCGUGCGAUGCCAGGCUGGAGAUCUGCAAGGGCAACUGUCGUGACAAACCAGUAGCACCUACAGGGCUUUGCAUGAAGAAGGAAUAAACACAUCUGCUGGGUCAAACCCCUGAGGCUUAGGAUGGUUUGUGCCAGAGCCCACGCUGGUCCGUCCUGACGGCUAUCCCAGGUUUCGGUUUUCCAGUUCAAGUGCACCGAGGCCUGACUGGUGCAGGAAUGCAGAGCAGGAAUCCUGGAACAACAGAACACUGAACACGCUGUGGAGAAGACAGUGGUAAUUUUUAGGUGAGCUCAGUUUUGCGGUUUUCUCCGAUCUCAGCCACGCUUAGGUCAGGUCUAUAGUGUCCAUUUCGCUUCUUCCAGUUUCCUGGAGAGUGUUGUAUUUUUUUUUUUUUUUUUUUUUUUAGGAGAGGGUGAGAUGGCUGCCAUCCAUCAUUUUGGAAAGUCACGAGAUUUCCAGAUAGAUGCCUAAACAAAGGACAAGCGUAUUAACAAAUCUAGCUGUCCAAAAGUCAGGGCUAAUGUUAACCAAGAUGAGCAUUACUGCGAUUCCAUCAAGAUGUCCUGUUAUUUAUUUAACUUUUCCAUUUUCAUUUUUUAUUUGGGUAAGAUAAUUGCUUGUGAUAAGCCUCGGGUGUGGAGGUCUGGUGCAUACAGAGUGGCGAGGCGAGCUUCAGCUCAGGAUGCACUGGGGAAAGGAAACCAGGUAUUAACAUAUUAAAAUAAACUCCAUUCAUGUCCUUUCGUGGUCUUCUUCGAAAAGGAGGACCUCUCCAAAGUGACUGGUCUACUCUCAGGAAAAAUUCUUACUAGGGGGAUGAUGUGUUGACCUGCUUGAGGAAAGAAAGAUCUCUUGUAUGCGUGGAUUUUAUAAGAGACAAAAAAUAGUGCUUCUUUCCCUGGGUCUCAUCCCACGAUGCUACCCGUGCGUUGCAGGUCAUCUCACCUACACCAGCACCUCCCAUUGCCUCCGGCUGAGACCCAAACACCGGGCAACAGCAGGGUUUUGGUGCCUUAAUCCCCAGAUGGAACUUUAGUACAGGAGACCUAUUUAUUUAAAUGAGUCACCCAUAAUCCUUUCAAUGGAAACACAACCAUGGCCCCAGGCUCUCCUGUGCUGCGGUUCCUCCCCUUCCUCUUCUCCCCUGCUGUGCCAUUCUCAGCACCCUCUCUGUUCAGGCCUGAACACCUCAGCAGCUUGAGUAGAAGCAAAUGAGGGUGUGGUUCCUACUUCUGUGAAGCUGGUAAUGGCCUGAGACAUAUUCAAGUGCUCCGUUGGGCAGCCAUGAAAAUAGCCACUGGUUUUUGGUGGUGCUCACAUGGAUCCCCAGCGGUGUUGUGGAUGCCCUUGUUUUAGACAAGAAACCUGAGGUUUGGAGAGUAGGUAACUGACCCAGGGUCACGCUUCUGCUGCUGCUGAGCCCGAGAGGAUGGAGGAGGGGUGUCGCUAGAGGCCUUGUUCCUUCCCUGGCAUCCCCUGCCUACCAAAAAAGCUUAAAAAUAAAAGUCGUAUCCUUGAAUUCCUUUUAUUUUUUUAAACUUUUUACGUUUUUAAUUUAUUUUUGAGAGAAUGAGAGAGAGAGAGAGACAGAGCGUGAGUGGGAGAGGGGCAGAGAGAGAGGGAGACCCAGAAUUCAAAGCAGGCUCCAGGCUCUGAGCUGUCAGCACAAAGCCCGACGCGGGGCUCGAACUCACAGACCACGAGAUCAUGACCUGAGCUGAAGCCAGACGCUUAACCAACUGAGCCACCCAGGGGCCCUGCUGAACUCCUUUUAAAAGGAGGAUAUUUUGGGGUGCCUAGGUGGCUCAGUCAGUUAAGCAUCCCCCUCUUGAUUUUGGCUCAGGUCAUGAUCUCACAGUUCAUGAGUUCAAGCCCCACUUCAGACUCCUCGCUGACAGCGGAGCCUGCUUGGGAUUCUGUCUCUCAGCCCCUCCCCUGCCCAUGCUCUCUAAAUAAAUAAGUAAACAAACAAACAAACUUAAAAAGGAAAUAAAGAGAAUAUUUUAUAGGUGGUCACCCCUCGUAACCUGUGAGCUAACAUUAUUGCUUGUGCUCAAAUAUCUCCUGGACGCUGUCCUGUGUCCAUCCCCAACCUCACUCCGCCAUCCUGGGUCCGGGCACCACCCCUGUCCUCCCCUCAACUUCUUACAGUUGAAGGAUCCCCUUCCCUUCACCCCUGCCAGGCUUCCUGUCCCCUCUCGUCAGUCCACCCUUCCACUUAAACUUACGUGACUUGUGUUUUUAUUCCAUUUCAAUCCCUUUCCUACUUUCUUGUUUUCCUUCUCCUUCUUCCCCUCCUCUCCCUCUUCUCAUCUUUUCUUCCUUCUUUCCUUUCCUUUCUCCACCCCCUCCUCCUCUUCAAGUGCACGUGCACUCCUGGAAAUGCUGCAGACGAUGAGCCAGUAGCUGCCGGACAAGAACGCAUCCAGAUGAAUUGCUAAGCCAUUCAUUAAUCAUUCCAGCAUUACCUGAAAGUUUGUCAGCUAAGUGAGAUCCUUUGUAAAAUGUGUCCUUGGAGCUUUCUAUCUUGCCCAUCCCUGAGCAGAGUCCACACCCUGAAUCUGCAAGGUCUAAGAGGGAAAGGAAAACAGGAACAGGAAAGAUGGAGUCCUACAGUAACUUGCAUGUAAUAAUCACAAAAAUUUCCAGCUGAAUUAAGUAGCAUCAGGAUAGAUCGAUUCUCUAUGGGAAGAAUUGUUCCAAAACAAAUGACUUCCUGGUCUGAAAAGAUUCCCACUCUGAAGAGAGAAGGGCGGUCUCCUCUGCUGCUCCUUGGGAAUCGAUAGACCCUCAUUUAUCUGGAUGCUUUAAAUUGACAUAGAUGGCUAAAGGCAGGAAGUUGGACUUUAGCCUUCAAAGGGCUCCCUGAACCCCUGUUAUUAGCCAUCACCCCCACCUGAAUAUUGCCUUCCUAUUCAAAUUCCAUCCCAGGCCGGCAAUCUGGAAGCCAUCGGUUGAGUUCUCCCUCCCACACAACCUCCGAAGAGUCGGUCAGCAGACUGCUGCGUUGUCUAUUGCCUCACGGCGUUUUGAAUUCCUCCUUCUCCUCCUCGGUGGCUCUCCUCCGUUUAGCACUUGAGUCACUGUUUAUCUGGGGCUUAGUGGUCUCCUCCAUGCCUCUAGCAUCGUCCCUCUCCAAUUCUUCCCUCGCUGCUGCCUCAGUGAUGCUUUCCUGCUCAUCGUGCCUUCCCGCUCACCGUGCCUCCACAGCUUGGCACCGGCCCGUGCACAGGUCCAAACCCUUCAAGGAGACUUUGAGGUCUUUCGUGAAUCUCUCUAGCCAGUUCCCCUGGCUGUACCCACGUGAAUUCCUUGCAGCUCCUGAAUGCACCAUUCUCUUUCCUCCCUGGCUUUGCAUUUACUGUCCCUCUUCUCUGGAAUGCAAUUUAGCCAUCAUCAGGUGGCUAAUGCCCUGGUUCAGCUCUCCCUGCUCCCCUGCUCCCCUUAGGAGACUGUCUUAGCACAGCCCCUAUCACACUGCAGUGUAAAGCCUGGUUUACUGGUCUCUGUCGCUUGUGUGGCGCUUGGGGGCCCAGGCUAUGUCUUCCUGUUGAAGUCCUGUGGAAUUUGACUGCCUGCUCAUGCUGCCACACAUGAUCAUACGCCGCCUAGUAAAUACUAUCCAAAGGAACAGUUCUUAUGCUGUGUCCUGUAUUAUUAUAGAAUCUAGACGUGUUAACGUACAUCGUUAACAUAGUAUAAUUGCUUCACUCCGUCAUGAAUGCUUGUUCCCGAUGCUCCAAACACAUUCCAGGACUCUCAAGACUGAGAACCGUGUGUUUUACUGACCUUCUCUGUAGCCCCCGAUGCCUCACACAGGGAAGGCGAAGAGGACUCAAUGUCAGAAACUUGGUGAGAAUGAGCAGUGUACCAGAGAGAGAGGAAGAGUGCAGCCAAAGACGCAAGGAAGUUUCACUUCUGGGGGGUCCCACUUCUGGGUACCUGCUCAUCCUAACGGGCCAUCCUACCCAUCUGAAGAUGGAGACACUGGCUCUGUACUUCCUGAUCCCCCAGGUGGGAGGGGACUCUGCUGCCUACAGGACCAAUGUGCCCGACGGGGCCGAAGAACAUGCGCCGGGCAAGAA
rnacentral:lncRNA from 1 species